AACGAACGCUGGCGGCAUGCCUAACACAUGCAAGUCGAACGAGAUCUUCGGGUCUAGUGGCGCACGGGUGCGUAACGCGUGGGAAUCUGCCCUUUGGUUCGGGAUAACAGUUGGAAACGACUGCUAAUACCGGAUGAUGACGAAAGUCCAAAGAUUUAUCGCCAGAGGAUGAGCCCGCGUAGGAUUAGCUAGUUGGUGUGGUAAAGGCGCACCAAGGCGACGAUCCUUAGCUGGUCUGAGAGGAUGAUCAGCCACACUGGGACUGAGAACCGGCCCCGACUCCUACGGGAGGCAGCAGUGGGGAAUAUUGGACAAUGGGCGAAAGCCUGAUCCAGCAAUGCCGCGUGAGUGAUGAAGGCCUUAGGGUUGUAAAGCUCUUUUACCCGGGAUGAUAAUGACAGUACCGGGAGAAUAAGCUCCGGCUAACUCCGUGCCAGCCGCCGCAGUAA
rnacentral:rRNA from 1 species